AAUCCUACGGGACGCAGCAGUGAGGAAUAUUGGUCAAUGGUCGGGAGACUGAACCAGCCAAGCCGCGUGAGGGAUGAAGGUACAGAGUAUCGUAAACCUCUUUUGUCAGGGAACAAAGGCGGGGACGCGUCCCCGGCUGAGUGUACCUGAAGAAAAAGCAUCGGCUAACUCCGUGCCAGCAGCCGCGGUAAUACGGAGGAUGCGAGCGUUAUCCGGAUUUAUUGGGUUUAAAGGGUGCGUCGGCGGUCUUUUAAGUCAGCGGUCAAAACCCGGGGCUUAACCCCGACCCGGCAAUGGA
rnacentral:rRNA from 1 species